UACGGGGGGGGGCAAGCGUUGUUCGGAAUUACUGGGCGUAAAGGGCUCGUAGGUGGCCAACUAAGUCACACGUGAAAUCCCUCGGCUUAACCGGGGAACUGCGUCUGAUACUGGAUGGCUUGAGUUUGGGAGAGGGAUGCGGAAUUCCAGGUGUAGCGGUGAAAUGCGUAGAUAUCAGGAGGAACACCGGUGGCGAAGGCGGGUCUCUGGGCCGAUACUGACGCUGAGGAGCGAAAGCGUGGGGAGCAAACAGG
rnacentral:rRNA from 1 species